rnacentral:rRNA from 1 species
GAGAGUUUGAUCCUGGCUCAGAUUGAACGCUGGCGGCAUGCCUUUCACAUGCAAGUCGAACGGCAGCACGGGAGCAAUCCUGGUGGCGCGUGGCGAACGGGUGAGUAAAGUAUCGGAACGUGCCCAGUCGUGGGGGAUAACGUAGC